CGGACGGGUGAGUAAUGUCUGGGAAACUGCCUGAUGGAGGGGGAUAACUACUGGAAACGGUAGCUAACACCGCAUAACGUCGCAAGACCAAAGAGGGGGACCUUAGGGCCUCUUGCCAUCGGAUGUGCCCAGAUGGGAUUAGCUAGUAGGUGGGGUAACGGCUCACCUAGGCGACGAUCCCUAGCUGGUCUGAGAGGAUGACCAGCCACACUGGAACUGAGACACGGUCCAG
rnacentral:rRNA from 1 species